CGAGUCGGCCUGCGCGGAAGAUGUAACGGGGCUAAACUAUGCACCGAAGCUGCGGCAGCGAUAUGUAAAUAUUGUUGGGUAGGGGAGCGUUCUGUAAGCCUGUGAAGGUGUACUGUGAGGUAUGCUGGAGGUAUCAGAAGUGCGAAUGCUGACAUAAGUAACGAUAAUGCGGGUGAAAAACCCGCACGCCGGAAGACCAAGGGUUCCUGUCCAACGUUAAUCGGGGC
rnacentral:rRNA from 1 species